UGGGGAAUCUUGGACAAUGGGGGCAACCCUGAUCCAGCCAUGCCGCGUGGGUGAAGAAGGCCUUAGGGUUGUAAAACCCUUUCAGCGGGGAAGAUGAUGACGGUACCCGCAGAAGAAGCCCCGGCUAACUCCGUGCCAGCAGCCGCGGUAAUACGGAGGGUGCAAGCGUUGUCCGGAUUUAUUGGGUUUAAAGGGUGCGUAGGUGGUUUAUUAAGUCAGUGGUGAAAGGCUGCAGCUCAACUGCAGGAGUGCCAUUGAUACUGGUAGACUUGAGUUUGGUCGAGGUAGGCGGAAUUUAUGGUGUAGCGGUGAAAUGCAUAGAUACCAUAAAGAACACCGAUAGUGAAGACAGCUUACUAGGCCUGAACUGACACUGAGGCACGAAAGCGUGGGGAGCGAACAGGAUUAGAUACCCCGGUAGUCC
rnacentral:rRNA from 1 species